UACGUAGGGGGCGAGCGUUGUCCGGAAUCAUUGGGCGUAAAGAGCGUGUAGGCGGUUCGGUAAGUCUGCCGUGAAAACCUGGGGCUCAACCCUGGGCGUGCGGUGGAAACUGUCGAGCUAGAGGAUGGUGAGAGGGGAGUGGAAUUCCCGGUGUAGCGGUGAAAUGCGCAGAUAUCGUAAGGAAGACCAGUGGCGAAGGCGGGUCGCUUGGACAGUUCCUGACGCUGAGGCACGAAGGUCAGGGGAGCAAACGGG
rnacentral:rRNA from 1 species